UCUCGGUGUACCAUCCUCCUGAUGUUCCGCUGGCCGAUCCUCUGUUGAAACCGUCGCCGUGAACGACCGCUCUCCCCCGCGUGCAGCAAUCUCCAGGCUCCAGGUCAAACGUGAAGCUGAAACGUCUCCUUGCGUUUCACGUUGGCCGUCCACUGCAACUCAAGUGGGGGCCCGGCUGGCCCUUCAAUCUGAUACUCGCUGCUAGGGUAACUUCAGCGGGAAUGAUGAUCCUUCAUCCAGAAAUUGCGUGCGUGCCUCGCACUCGCUUGUUCAAUGCUUGCACAACCCGGGACACGACACAGGAGAAUCUCGAUCAACAAGGCUUUGUUACGUGGUUUGCGGCACAGCUUCAUCUGCGUUACAGUCUCAACACGUUUAAUGGGAGACAUGCGCUUCGCAUCAUUCUCUUAGCGUAUGAUCCGUGUUCGAUCGAACGAAGAUAUGGACAUCGCUACUAAACCGGGGUAAGAAUGCUUCAGACAAAUGGCGAGUAGCAGCAAAUGAAUUAUCUCGAAAACUAAGCGUCGAAGGAGAAACGUUCUCUUUCGCUACACGCAUCCAAAUCCCGAUGUAAAUUGAAGUGUUCGAUGGCUUUUUCCAUCACGAAUCAUAUACCAAAAUUCGGUUCAUUUUCCGGAGCCCGUUUUCAAAUGACAGCCCGUGGCGCGUUCUGCAGAAGGACUUUGACUCCGAUUUUGAGUAACGAGUGUUGGUCGUACCUACGCAA